rnacentral:misc_RNA from 1 species
GUCAAUAUGUCCUCGAUUAUCAGCGAAGUUUGAGUGGUAAUGCAAUCGAGUAGCCUCAAGCAUCUUUGAAACCUCUUGUGCAUUCUCGGAAGCUUUAAGGAAGUGAUCAUCAAUCUCGCCUAAAACUUUAAAGAAAUCAGCAUUGUUACCAUACACAACAUUCCCACCUCCCAUUACUACUCCACCUCUCAUCUCAGAAGGCGCAGUGUUUGAAUGCUUAAAGACUCUCUCUGGUUCAUCUGCCGUUGGAGUCUCUUCAACCUCACUCUCCACUUUCCCCUUCUUCUCUGGUGUCUUGAACUGAUCAUCUCUAUACUCAUUUCUACCCAUAUUAUCAAAUCUUUUGUUUUGAAU